ACCAUGCAAGUCGAACGGCAGCACAGAAGAGCUUGCUCUUUGGGUGGCGAGUGGCGGACGGUUGAGUAAUGUCUGGGAAACUGCCCGAUGGAGGGGGAUAACUACUGGAAACGGUAGCUAAUACCGCAUAACGUCGCAAGACCAAAGUGGGGGACCUUCGGGCCUCACACCAUCGGAUGUGCCCAGAUGGGAUUAGCUAGUAGGUGGGGUAAUGGCUCACCUAGGCGACGAUCCCUAGCUGGUCUGAGAGGAUGACCAGCCACACUGGAACUGAGACACGGUCCAGACUCCUACGGGAGGCAGCAGUGGGGAAUAUUGCACAAUGGGCGCAAGCCUGAUGCAGCCAUGCCGCGUGUAUGAAGAAGGCCUUCGGGUUGUAAAGUACUUUCAGCGGGGAGGAAGGCGGUGAGGUUAAUAUUCUUGCCGAUUGACGUUACCCGCAGAAGAAGCACCGGCUAACUCCGUGCCAGCACCCGCGGUAAUACGGAGGGUGCAAGCGUUAAUCGGAAUUACUGGGCGUAAAGCGCACGCAGGCGGUCUGUUAAGUCAGAUGUGAAAUCCCCGGGCUUAACCUGGGAACUGCAUUUGAAACUGGCAGGCUUGAGUCUCGUAGAGGGGGGUAGAAUUCCAGGUGUACCGGUGAA
rnacentral:rRNA from 1 species